CCGGACCACGCUUACAUGAGAAGAGAAAUUGGGAAAUACUGCUAUUUAUUAAUUGGACUUUCGUCCGCUGCUCUUCUCUUUAACACACUGCAGCAUUCCUUUUGGGAUAUUGUGGGAGAAAACCUCACAAAACGUGUGAGAGAGAAGAUGCUGACAGCUGUGCUGAAAAACGAAAUGGCAUGGUUUGAUCAAGAGGAAAAUGAGAGUGCUAGGAUUUCUGCAAGGCUGGCUCUUGAUGCCAACAAUGUCAGAUCAGCUAUAGGAGAUCGCAUUUCAGUGAUUGUGCAGAACACGGCUCUCAUGUUAGUUGCCUGCACUGCCGGCUUUGUUUUGCAGUGGCGCCUUGCCCUUGUCCUAAUUGCAGUCUUCCCUGUGGUUGUAGCAGCAACUGUUUUGCAGGUUUGUUUCUAAAAUUAAUCCCUUGCACAUGCAUGCUGUCAUCGAAGAAUGCUUGCUGACAGUUGAUAUAAGUUAUGUCGAAACCAUUGUUAGCAUGUGAUAGUUUUAUGGUUGUUUGAAUUGUAUGCUAAAACCAACUUCUAUCUGCUUCUUGGGCUAAAUAUGAUCCACAACUACACAAUUUCAGAUGAUAUCAAGUUAUUAAUUAUAUUUGUUGGAUUUUCAACAGAAAAUGUUUAUGAAAGGUUUCUCAGGAGAUUUAGAAGCUGCUCAUGCCAAGGCUACGCAACUAGCUGGGGAGGCUAUUGCCAAUGUAAGAACUGUUGCUGCCUUCAAUUCAGAGAACAAAAUUGUUGGCCUAUUCUCUUCAAGCCUUCAAACUCCAUUGAGGCGCUGCUUCUGGAAGGGUCAAAUUGCGGGAAGUGGAUUUGGUGUAGCUCAGUUUUCACUAUAUGCUUCUUAUGCUCUUGGUCUUUGGUAUGCUUCCUGGCUUGUGAAGCAUGGGAUCUCUGAUUUUUCAAAGACAAUCCGAGUCUUUAUGGUUCUCAUGGUUUCCGCCAAUGGUGCAGCUGAAACAUUAACCCUGGCUCCUGACUUCAUCAAGGGAGGUCGAGCCAUGCGGUCGGUCUUUGAUCUUCUUGACCGUAAAACUGAGAUAGAGCCUGAUGACCCUGAUGCCACACAAGUUCCAG
rnacentral:lncRNA from 1 species